CUGAAACGUUCAAAAUGUGGGAGAUGUAGCUGAAUUCUUUGCCUUGUUUAGACAAAGAAAGAAAUUCCCGCAAGCGCGUAGUGUCAAGACAUCACCACAGCACUUUGAAGUGAAGUUAAAGCAGAUCUGACCUGUAAACUUGCUCAGUGAUGUUACAUACGUGUCUCCAUGAAGGGAUUUGGAAAUUUUGGCCCAGCUCCUGUCGUGACCAGAUGCAGUUCGGAGCUGGAGUGGGUGAAGUGCGCUGAAGUACCACAAACACAACAACAGUUUGAGCUCGGACUGGAGUCAAACUGGGGACCUUUUGGUUUGUGGGCGAAGGAUUACUAACUGUAUAUUGGCGGUUGAUGCCGUACUCUCAGAUGGAGGUUCAAGAGACAGAUUUUCCCGUUUUGAUUAUGUUGUACUUUGCCUUGAAAUGUCCAAAAAGUCAAUUCUAAAAUGCUGAACUGGAUCAUUUCAAGUCUGUGUUCAAUAUUUCUGGUUUAUGGAAUGCAUUUCAAUUAUAACUGUACUUAUAACUUACUUGUUAAUUGUUUUAGUGUGUGGUGUUUAGUCUUGAUUUGUAGAGCAGAAAUACCAUACCGACUUUAUUUAUGAAGCUCUUUAAAAACUUAACGACGGGCCAAAGUGCUGAACACAAACACAGAACAGACAAGGACAAAGUCGCAGGCAAAGUCACAAUACAACUACUAAAAAACAUAGAAAACAAUAAGAUACUCAGCCACAAGAAACGUACAUGUCACAGUGAAAGAAAGUGCGGUUUUAAGAGUGAUUUAAAAACAGGUACAGACUCCAGACUCCGCCGCAACAGAAAACGCACAAUCCACAUUUGGGGUGUAACGAUAUCCGAGUGUCACGAUACGAUAUUGUCACGGUGCAAUAUUUACUGCGAUAUCGUGGGAAACCUCACGAUAU